GGCAAAAGAUGUUAGGAUUAAAAACCAUGCCUACAGACACGUAAUGGGUCAGCCGCAGAGCAGGACGAACCCCUAAAUUCCCAGACUUUGAGUCCAGUGCUCUUUAUUUCACACCUGCCCUGAGGUACAACGGUGAUGGAGGAAUCCAACACUGAGGCCCAAACACAAUGAAUGAGAAAUGCCAACCACUGCAUUUUGUUCCACAUCUUAAAAAAAAAUUAAAAAAAAAAAAAAUCAAACCCCAGUCUAACACUUAGUUUUACUAGAAUACAAGCAAAACCACAAUUAAGUAGAAUUUUGCUCAGCUCUGGGUGCUCAACUUGAAAGAGCAGACAGAAACACUAGAUUUCAUUCACAGGCAAGAAACUUAACCAGGCUGUCUGAGCCGGGCACUGCUGAGCCAGAGAAAGCUGUCGGCAACGCGAAGGCUGCAGGGUUAUCAUGCAGAAGAAGGAAGAGGCUUCCCGUGUCAGAGACCCUGAGGGCCUGAACGAGAGAGAGACAGACAGACAGACAGACAGGCAGCCCGCAGUGCACACGGGCGUGCGUCGGGGGGGCCGCCGGGAGACUCACCGCAGCAAUGCUACGUGAAUGCAGAGGGCUGGAGGUGGUGUGACUACUCACUUGCUCGGCUAACAGCUGCCGGGUUUGGAUGGAAUUAUUCCGCAACAACAAGAAAGCGUCGGUUAAACGCC